UUAAAUUGAAGAGUUUGAUCAUGGCUCAGAUUGAACGCUGGCGGCAGGCCUAACACAUGCAAGUCGAACGGUAACAGGAAUCAGCUUGCUGUUUCGCUGACGAGUGGCGGACGGGUGAG
rnacentral:rRNA from 1 species